UUUACAACCAAAAAUUGAACUUCAAAAACUAUGUUAGUAUCAAAUACAGCAAUAUACUGACGAUAAGUUUCAAAAACAGUAAUCUGUGAGUGACAACCAAUCACAAGCGUUACUUCGGUUGUGCGUCAAAAUGGCGCCCGCGUUGUUUUUGUUGUGAGUUUUAUGCAUGUAUUUUCUUGUUUUAUUAUAAAAAUAACGCUGGAAAGUUAGUUUUAGCAUUAAAAAACUGGCCAUGGAGGUGCACCCCACGCGUGUUAAUAAUAAGUUUGCACGAAAGAAGAAAAAAGAUCCCACAAAAUGGAAAACAAAUAUUGCAAAAUGUCUGAGAUAUUCGCCAAAAGGCAUGCCAACUCGAGUAUGCGAACAUAAUACGAGAGCAUUGAAAUGUGCAACAUUGACAAUGAAUGAUCUAUCAAAAAUACAUCGGGAUUUUUAUAAGAACUCGACAAAGCAUGACCAAAAUAUAAUUCUUUUCAAACUGUGUUCACUAAAAGAAACCCAAAAAAGACCUAACUUUAAAGGCAAAAAGAAAUUUAAAACUAACUAUUCCGUAUUCAUUAACAAGAAGAGAGUGCCAAUCUGGCAAAAAUUUUUUUUGAGUAUUUUUGGCAUUAAAAAGUAUAGAGUGGAGUACUUGAUGAAAAAGUUUUAUGAAACGGGAGAAUUUCCUCGUGAAGCUCGUGGAGGUGAUCGGAAGACUGAAAAGUAUGCAGAGAAAAAAGAAUCUGUUCAUCGUUUUAUUCAAAAUCUUAAAUGUAUAGAGUCU